UAAAAUAUCUACUGGUAGUAUACAAGUUUUAUAAUAAUAUUAUAAUGUAAAGGUUAACUAAAAGAUAACACAAAUUGGCCUUUAAGCCCUUGAAGAGAGAAUUAGGGCUUUAGGUUUCUAGCAUGGCGGGAGGCGAUGGCUCAGGUCAGUGUGAUGGGAUCCAUGUCCUUUUCCUGGCGGCGCAUUCCUAGCUAUUGCAAUCUUCGCAGUGGACAGGCGCCUCACGGAUUUGGAGAAGACGCAAUUGCGGCGCAACAAGUUCGCGCUCAAGAUUGGGUUUGGCCUCUUUUUCGCUGUAAAUAUCGUCUUGAUUGGUAAGUAUUUGCAUUUCUAGGGGUUGUUCUUUCGAAUUUUAUAUUUUUUGGAGCAGGGCAUGCUUUAGUGACUGAUCCAAAGUCUGUUUAUUCGCCGGAUCAUCACACCAAUCUCCGGAAACAGAGAUUGGCCGCUAGAGAAGCCGAGAAAAAUCUUCAAGACUCGCAAAAACCUCUCGGAGACUCGCCACAAGCCGCAAGUUAGAAUUCUUUGCGAGGUACGUAUGACUUCUCCUCUCCAGUUUUACUUUUUCCCUGGUUUUGUUCUUGAUGCCAUAUUCAGGACUGCGAACUCGACGUGAAAAUCACUCUUUACAUUUUGUCUCAGAGCUUUGGAAUACUUUUUUCGUUUUCUCAAUGGAGGGAUUGCGGGCUUGCUUGAAACUUCCUCUCUGGAUUGGAACUUGUAAGAUACACCAGGACCUUUCUCGAUCAAAAGUUGCGACAUGGGGGCUACCUUCUUUUUCUAAAAGAAAAAUGGAUGGACCCAAGCCUGAUGAUCCAAUCCUCCUAACGUUUUUCACAUAUCCAAGUAACCAUUGCGAGCUAGCACUUUUAAGAAUUGUUCAGAGUUUUCAAUUGUGUCACAAAAAAGGAUGUACUGGCAGGAGUUUUUUGUUUGAAGUGUUAUACAAGGAAUUCAACCAUUUUUGUCCCAAAACUUUUGGAGAUUUUUUCUUUCUUUAGAUCUUCGC
rnacentral:lncRNA from 1 species